GACGUAGGGGGCAAGCGUUGUUCGGAAUUAUUGGGCGUAAAGCGCUCGUAGGCGGGACAGGAAGUUCGUGUUGAAAGACCUCGGCUCAACUGAGGGACCGGCUCGAAUACUCUUGUUCUUGAGGCAAUCAGAGGGUGAUGGAAUUCCCGGUGUAGCGGUGAAAUGCGUAGAUAUCAGGAGGAACACCGGUGGUGUAGACGGCUUUCUGGACCGUAACUGACGCUGAAACACGAAAGCGUGGGUAGCAAACAGG
rnacentral:rRNA from 1 species